rnacentral:tRNA from 2 species
GCCUAGAUGGUGGAAUUGGCAGACACGCUAGACUAAGGAUCUAGUGGAGCAAUCCGUGCAGGUUCAAGUCCUGUUCUGGGCACCA